UUGCUUUUACUGUGUUUAGUUAUUGAUCAGCAAACACCACCACCUCCCCGUGGCCCAUCUCACCUGGCUGUAAAGAGGGAGAAACUGCCUUAGUAGCCCAAGUUUGUUAGCCUUCAAGAUGUGCUUCAAAGUUCCUAUUUUCUCUGUAUUCUUCAGGGAAAAGGAUAAAUAUGUGGAAUUUGGGUGAUAUUUCUUACGAGGUUUAUAGUAUAAUGUUGAUUAAGUCACUCUGUCUGUGAUAAUUUUGUUUAACAAAUAUAUAUAUUUCUGGUGGCACAGAUACAGUUUUGUGCCACCAGAUAUUCAAUAAGAGUGAUGAGAGCCAUUUAAGUGUAUUACAAAGGAAGUCUGGGGGUGACCCGGUGAGAAUCUGUUGCUCUGGUUGUAUUUCAUGUGGCCUGCAACUGCUUUGAAUUUGGGAACUUCCAUGAGUGUCGUAGCUCAUUAAUACUAGAAGAGCUUGCGAAUUGUUACGAAGUUGGUUAAUAUUGGAGUUUCUGGUGUUGUAGGUGUAUUCCUUCUUGUGCAUCGGUGCUUCAUUCACAGUGGAGCUUUUUUCAGAGUCCUUUUUUCACAGAUGUUGUAAUAUUUUCCUAAACCUUUCACUCUUAAAUUAACAUUAGGGUAUGGAGGACACUUAGUCUUUUUUUUUGUUCCUGUGGCAAUGUUCACUUGCAUGGCUCUCUUCUGCAUAUUUCCUUAAAAAAAUAGCACUUAAUCACUUUCUUCCAGCUGAGAUUUAUCACUGCAAAAUUAGGGUUAGGGUUUACUGUUUACUCCCAGAAUCAAUUUUCCUUAUUCCCCUGAUGAUAGGAGUUUGCAGAUAUAUCAGUCCCCAGCCUGUGCAUUGAGGUUUUGCCACAAUACGGGUGGCUCAGCUUUAUUUCGGAGAUCAUCUGGCUCCACAAAGCCGAGGGCCCAAAGGGUGUUUGUAUUUGUUUUGUAUUGACAGAGUCUUGUUGACUUGAACGGGGAGUUUCCUCUGGGGAUGCUCUGGAAAGAAAGUUGCCUGGGACUGGAAAACGAACGGGGAUUUUGUGUAGUUUGCUUCUUUCUUUGUUUCCUGUUAAAUAUUUUGAUUUCUUGUAUUCCCCUAAAGGCUCAAUUCUGGCUGUAAUGAAGCUGUGGGUAAGGCGCCUUCUCUAAUCAGGCUAAAGCUCAUGUUCCCAGAAGGAGCAUCUAAUCCAUUAAGCCUCUCUGCCAUCUAAACACUUCACUUUCCUUUUCAAACCUGCUCCUCAGCUCUGCCAGGAGCUCUGUUCUCCUGUCAGCCUGGGUCUUCAGUAUCUUUUCCUUCUCUUUUCUUGAUUUCCUCCAAUUUGUCAUUGCAUAUUUUUAAGUUUGUCUUAAUCUUCAGAUAUGACUUUAAUCUACAAUCCCUGGAGACUUCUGGCUGGGAGAACAAGAAGAAAGUGUUUGAAGUGUUGUAUUGUUCACUACUGAGGCUGAAUUGUCUGCUCGUUAGAGAACAGCGUUACUGUGUGGCUACUGGAAUCACCAGAAAGGUGGUGGGUUUUCUUUUCUCCUUGUUUUCUGCAGCUGUACAGGAGCAGCUGCUUUAAUUGCCGGAUGGUUCUUCCUCUUAUGUCCCAUGAUGUGCAGACCUCUGUGCUCCUGUUCACUGCUGGAGAACCUCUGUUAGCCAAUCCAAGUGCUUUUGCAAUAACAUGAGGGAUAUUUAAAUAAAAUCAUAUUGCAGUUAUGCAAUUCCUUAUGUUGAAAUAUAAUCCAUUUUCUCUGGCUGGAAUGUACAUGUUUUUUGUCUGGCUUUGGCUACUCAUGCUCUCUCUGUGCUUCAUGAUAAAAUGCUAAAAUGAGACAAAAUGCAGUAAAUGUAAAUCACAUGAAAAAGGAAUUAGGCAUGAGAUGAUGAUGAGAGAUGGGUGUGUAUCCAAAGAGACUGUGACUCCAACUUCAGUGGAACAGGACUGAGUGUGUAUUUGAAGAUGUCGACAGAGAGGACUUGUAGCAUAUAUUAUGGACAGAUGUUGGUAGUAAUUUAUUUACUUUACCUAAGUAGCUCUUUGCCUUGCUGAGGACUGGUGGCAGCAGCAGCCUUUGGUUACCUAUCCAGACUGGCAUAAAGGAGGAGGCAAAGAGAGGAGAAAGACUGAUUUGAAAAUAAAGUACUUCUGUUUUAUUGAUAGGGAACCAAGAUCCAUCUGACAGCGAGGGCUUGUGAAGACUUGAGAAUGUGCCAUGUAUUUUUAACAUCAGCAGCCUCUCCUGCAUAAGUAGAGAAAUUUUGCUGUCAGCAUUCCCUGCCGGAUGAGAUGGCAAAGAGCAAUUGCAAACGGCGAGCUUUUCAGCAAAGAGCUGCUAAGGAGAAAAUGUCUGUGACUUGGAGUCUCUGGAAGAUCUACGCCAGCAUCUUGUCCUCCAAACUGCUUGUGUAUCUCAUCAGAUCUGGGAACAGGUCCCUGUAAGAUCCAGCUCUGACCUCCCCCUGGUGCUUUAUCCUGCCUGUUCUCAGCAGGUUUUGGGGUGGGAAGUCUCUGGAGGCUUUAAGGAUGAGGCUUUUUCCAGACUCCUGGUAAAAAUAGUUCCUCAGCUCCAGCUACUCUUGAAGGGCUGUUAAUCUUCCAUAUAGAUUUUAGUCAUAAAUAUACUUCUUGUUAUCAUUAUGGGCUAAUACCACAAACCAAAUUCUCAAUUAAAUGUACCAAUCUAAUGAUUAGCCUGGAAGUUUCCAGAGGAAAUAUAUAGAUGUCCACAGAUGUGCAUAUGGACACAUGUAUGUAAGAUUUCUGCUGGAGCACCCUAAAUGUAUUCAAGCAGUUUCAGUAACCAAAUCCAAGACCUAAAGGUUAUCAAUUACACUAUGAGAGAAGCAGUAGUUUUCCAGAUUGCAGGUCCCUCGGUGAUUAUGAAUGCUUCUCUAGCACCUGCUUUCCACUGAUAAGGGGUAGGAGUAAUAAAUUCUUCUGAGACUGCUUUUCCCUGGCCAGGUAGACAUGUGGAUGAAAGACUGCAAGCUUCAAUCUGUAAUGCCACCUGUUGGGAAGUAUAUCUAGAGCAGCAAUAAGAAAGAGGGAAAUUGGGGUGGAAUGGUGUUUUUUUUUAAAAAAAACCCAAUCUUUCUGCACAAAUGGUUGAAUAAAUUAGAGAAAUAUGUUCAUUUCAGCAGUAUAAGCUUCAAAGAAACACCCGAGGUGCCCUGAGGGCGUUGUGCAUCCACUGCAUCCCCUGCUUUUGGUAUUCUCCCAGUUGCGCCUUCACUCCGUGCAUCCCCCGUUCCUGCUGCAGAAGAGGCGGCUGCUCGUGAGCUCCACGGCUGGUGUGGGCAAAGGAAGCUCGUCCUGCAAGGGGCUUCUUGAGUAACUUCUCACCACCACUUGUCAGAUAUUCCUGAAGAUGACACAAUGAAAACUAAAUUGAUUAAGCCACGAGAUGCAGAGAAACACCUGAUUAUUCAUUUUCUAGCUUUUCAUUUACAUCCUGUUGUUUUUCUGCUCUAUUGCUGGUUGGAAAAUUUUCCUUUAUUUUACUUUUUCUCCCUCCUCACCCUUUUUCUGGCAGGAAGUAUUGACUUCUUCCAAAAACCACAAUGAGAAACCACAGUUUUUCAACUAAGUACAGUCAUCUGUCUGGGGAAAAAAAAGUCAGCUGGAUUCAAAGUCAACUUCAUAACAAAAGUCACCCUGGCUCAGUGCCAUGUCCAUCUCAUGGGAGUCUAGGAAUUGCCUGCUUGUCUCUGCUGCAGCUUUUUGGGAUUGUUCUUGAAAGUGGACGUGUCCUUCAAGAUUUUGCUGGGUCAGUCCUGAAGCUUUCAACAGCAAGUGAGGGUUUGGAUUCCUUUUGUGUUAUGUUAUCAGGGCCAGGACGACUUUGUACGAAGUCACUUGGGAUUGAAAAGAAGGGAACAAGGGUCUAACAGCCCCCAAUCAGCAGCUUAAUAUAUGUACAGGUUCUUUGGAUGUCUCUGCAGCGUCAUUCUGAAGUUCCAGGGGUGGUAUUAUACUAUGUAUUGGAGCAGGCAGGGUGGAAGCACAAUAUUUGGAUGGCUGCACUUGUGGGAUUUGCACAUGGUGAGGGCUUUGCCCCUGAAGCAAAGCUGGCUCCUGCCACCACUACUGCAAUCUCUCCCCUUGUCAUAAAAUUGCACGGGCAGGAGCUGUGGGGUUUCCUGAGCUCAUCCUUGCUCGUGGCAAUCACUGCUUUCCACUCAUAGUAGGUUAGGACAAAUCAUCUGUUCUUCCUCCCCAUCCUGCAGUCCAGAAAGAUACUGAUACGAGUCAGCUCCUUUUUGGUGGCACCUUCAUUGCCACGAGCUCUUGGGAGUGCAGUUCCCUGGAGUGUUUCUCAAAUGGUCUGGAGUCUGGAAGUGACGACACCGUGGUGUCAGCUGGCCUCUGCUGUGUGCCUGUUUUAUCACAGCUUCCAGCAGUCCUUUUGGUUCACCGCAUCUUUCAGAUAGCAUUGAUUUCAGAUGAAUGUUUCUUAUCUCAGAUCAUAUCUCCAUUUCUGUGUGAUAAGGAAACCUAUUUUUUUUUACUUAUGAGAUUAUGUGGCAUACAUUUGUUGGAGAGUAAUUUCACUAAUUCUCCUUGGGUACACUGACAGCACAAUUAUCAUCUCACUUGACAGCUGUUCCCUUGAAUUUUAAACACCCAAAACACAUCCAAGGGCAUGCGAGGAAUUUGGUGGUAUUACUGUCUGUUGCUAAGAAGUGUUGAGCUUUUGGGGAGGAAAAAGUGUAUUUCUACAAUCCCAGAGAAGACAUAUCAAAACAUGUAGAUGCCAGUUAUCUGACUAGAAGGGAUUUGGGAAAUAUUAUCAGAUUUAAGAAUGAAAACUUACAACUAGCAAAAUUACCAGAGGCAGCAAUUGUGAUCAAACAGUUGAGCAAACGAGAUAAAACAGAAAAA